GGGGGGAGGCUGGAUCCUGGGUUGUGUCCCGGCUCCCUGUGCUCCCGGGCCUGCGCCGUUGGAUUCGCACUCCCAGCCGCGCAGCCACCU
rnacentral:pre_miRNA from 1 species